rnacentral:lncRNA from 1 species
GCAGAAUCUAAAAAAUAUUUUUGGAUAUUUAUUUAUACAGUAUAAAUGGGUAUAACACUGUAUGAUGCUGUUGGCAUUUUAAUUCCCAGACUGCAUCUUAGAAAUUCAGAGCUUCUCCCCUCCUACAGUGAAGCCUGAAUGUUGCAGAAACAGAGAGAAAGAAAUGAGAUUUUUGAACCAGAUGAUCUUUCCAGUGCCUUCCAACUCAAACCAUCCUAUGAUUAUCAAUAACUGAGCUAUCAAAUUUCACCCCUCUGGUACACAUAAAUCUGAAAAAAGCUUCAGCUGCGUCACUCCCAGACAAAUCUGACACUGGAAUUUUGCUCCUCCGAGUUCUACCUGUGCUCUUCAUUCCAGGCACAGAGACAGGACCACACACCUCCCCACAGGGCACAGGACCUGCAGCCAGAACAGAACAAGCUGCUGAAGAAUAUUGAGGUCAGGACUGGAUGGGCAGGGAUCCUGCUCAAGCAGCCAGGAUCACAGGAAACUCCCUCUCUACCCUGGGAUAUAUUUCAUGAGUAAAAGAAACAAGGCGCUAUGAACUGAAUACUCUAAAAAGAAAGAAAGAAAGAAAGAAAGAAAGAAAACUCUCCUCCUGGUUGCAAACAGAAGAUUGGUUCAUUUGAGCAUGCUGUGCAAAACUUGCCACAAAGUCCUUUGUGCCAUCAGCAUGAAAAGAAUCCUUUGCCCAGGCGGGAGAUUAGGGUGGCCAGCGGGAAUCCCUGCACCCGAAAUUCAGAUCAGAAUGGAUGGUUACAAUAAGACUGAAAAUGGUUUCCCUGCUUUAUUUUUAAAAGCUUGUUAGAUUGUGAUGGAAUAACUUCAGGAAGUCUACUGCCAGAUUCUCUCCUGCCUUCACUGACUCUGCUCUGAACAGCAGAACAUCCACGCCAAACUAAUAGAAGAAAAAUAAGAACAAGUUUUCACUGUGAGAGGUUCCUUUCCUACUUUAUUCAGACGUUUUGGGAGAAGGGAUGAAAAUGGCUUUUGAAAUAUAAAAGGCUGCUCUAGCUGACUCCUCACUAGGGUUUGUCACAUUCCAUUAGCAGUGAUCUAGAAAUAUCAGUCCUAACUGGCUGGCAAAUCAUGUGAAUGCCCAUCCGUGGUAACAUUCAACCUGCCCUGGAACAUCUCCAAAGACAGAUUGUGUGACAGGAGAGAUCGUUAAUGCAUAUAGGCUUUCCUAGAAUAAGUCAGAGUGAAGAAAUAUCUUGCUUUAUCCUGUAGAGUCAGUGCACACUAGGCAAAAAAUAAUUCCCAGCACAGGCACUUUCACCACUUCUGAAGAUUUUGCAUUUUAGAUGCUAUUUUAUCUCCAUUAAAAUCCCUUGCUAUACAUGUUAUUUCAUGUGCAUGGUGUUUGUUGAUGUUUAGAUCUAAAAUAUAGCCUCUUUACUUAAUAAAACUGGGGUGGUUUUUUUGCA